rnacentral:rRNA from 2 species
UGAACGACUCUCGGCAACGGAUAUCUCGGCUCACGCAUCGAUGAAGAACGUAGCAAAAUGCGAUACUUGGUGUGAAUUGCAGAAUCCCGUGAACCAUCGAGUUUUUGAACGCAAGUUGCGCCCGAAGCCACCCGGCCGAGGGCACGCCUGCCUGGGCGUCACGC